rnacentral:rRNA from 1 species
CCAUCCCGCGUGUGUGAUGAAGGCCUUCGGGUUGUAAAGCACUUUUGACAGGGAAGAAAUGACAGGAGCUAAUAACUUCUGUAGAUGACGGUACCUGUAGAAUAAGCACCGGCUAACUACGUGCCAGCAGCCGCGGUAAUACGUAGGGUGCAAGCGUUAAUCGGAAUUACUGGGCGUAAAGGGUACGCAGGCGGCUAGGAAAGAAAGAUGUGAAAUCCCAGGGCUCAACCUUGGAACUGCAUUUUUAACUACCUAGCUAGAGUAUGUCAGAGGGGGGUAGAAUUUCCACGUGUAGCAGUGAAAUGCGUAGAGAUGUGGAGGAAUACCGAUGGCGAAGGCAGCCCCCUGGGAUAAUACUGACGCUCAGGUACGAAAGCGUGGGGAGCAAACAGGAUUAGAUACCCUGGUAGUCCACGCCCUAAACGAUGUCAACUAGCUGUUGGGGCCGUUAGGCCUUAGUAGCGCAGCUAACGCGUGAAGUUGACCGCCUGGGGAGUACGGUCGCAAGAUUAAAACUCAAAGGAAUUGACGGGGACCCGCACAAGCGGUGGAUGAUGUGGAUUAAUUCGAUGCAACGCGAAAAACCUUACCUACGCUUGACAUGUCUGGAAUUCUGAAGAGAUUUAGAAGUGCCCGCAAGGGAACCGGAACACAGGUGGCGCAUGGCAGUUGUCAGCUCGUGUCGUGAGAUGUUGGGUUAAGUCCCGCAACGAGCGCAACCCUUGUCACUAGUUGCUACGCAAGAGCACUCUAGUGAGACUGCCGGUGACAAACCGGAGGAAGGUGGGGAUGACGUCAAGUCCUCAUGGCCCUUAUGCGUAGGGCUUCACACGUCAUACAAUGGUCGGGACAGAGGGACGCCAACCCGCGAGGGGGAGCUAAUCUCAUAAACCCGAUCGUAGUCCGGAUCGCAGUCUGCAACUCGACUGCGUGAAGUCGGAAUCGCUAGUAAUCGCGGAUCAGAAUGCCGCGGUGAAUACGUUCCCGGGUCUUGUACACACCGCCCGUCACACCCUGGAAAUGGGUUUCACCAGAAGUAGGUAGCCAACCGGUAAGGAGGGCGCUUACCACGGUGGGA